rnacentral:rRNA from 1 species
GACAGAGGGUGCAAACGUUGUUCGGAAUUACUGGGCGUAAAGCGUGUGUAGGCGGCUGCGUAAGUCGGAUGUGAAAGCCCUGGGCUCAACUCAGGAAGUGCACUCGAUACUGCGUAGCUCGAGUACCGGAGAGGUUGGUGGAAUUCUCGGUGUAGAGGUGAAAUUCGUAGAUAUCGAGAGGAACACCUGUGGCGAAGGCGGCCAACUGGACGAGUACUGACACUGAGACACGAAAGCGUGGGGAGCAAACAGG